CCUACGGGACGCAGCAGCGGGGAAUAUUGCACAAUGGACGCAAGCCUGAUGCAGCCAUGCCGCGUGUAUGAAGAAGGCCUUCGGGUUGUAAAGUACUUUCAGCGGGGAGGAAGGCGAUAAGGUUAAUAACCUUGUCGAUUGACGUUACCCGCAGAAGAAGCACCGGCUAACUCCGUGCCAGCAGCCGCGGUAAUACGGAGGGUGCGAGCGUUAAUCGGAAUUACUGGGCGUAAAGCGCACGCAGGCGGUCUGUCAAGUCAGAUGUGAAAUCCCCGGGCUCAACCUGGGAACUGCAUUCGAAACUGGCAGGCUAGAGUCUUGUAGAGGGGGGUAGAAUUCCAGGUGUAGCGGUGAAAUGCGUAGAGAUCUGGAGGAAUACCGGUGCGAAGGCGGCCCCCUGGACAAAGACUGACGCUGAGGCGCGAAAGCGUGGGGAGCAAACAGGAUUAGAUACCCCUGUAGUC
rnacentral:rRNA from 1 species